CGGGCUGUGGCGCAGUUUGGUAGCGCACCUGCUUUGGGAGCAGGGGUCGUGGGUUCAAGUCCCGCCAGCCCGACCA
rnacentral:tRNA from 1 species